rnacentral:rRNA from 1 species
GACGAACGCUGGCGGCGUGCUUAACACAUGCAAGUCGAGCGGGAACCUCGGCAGGGGUAACCCUUCCGAGGGGAGAGCGGCGAACGGGUGAGUAACACGUGGGCAACCUGCCCCGGACACCGGGAUAACCCAGGGAAACCUGAGCUAAUACCGGAUACUCCGGCACGAUCGCAUGGUCGUGCCGGGAAAGCUCCGACGGUCCGGGAUGGGCCCGCGGCCUAUCAGCUUGUUGGUGAGGUAACGGCCCACCAAGGCGACGACGGGUAGCUGGUCUGAGAGGACGGCCAGCCACACUGGGACUGAGACACGGCCCAGACUCCUACGGGAGGCAGCAGUGGGGAAUCUUGCGCUAAUGCGCGAAAGCGUGACGCAGCGACGCCGCGUGGGGAUGAAGGCCCUCGGGUUGUAAACCCCUUUCGCCAGGGAAGAAGGGAAACUGACGGUACCUGGAGAAGAAGUCCCGGCUAACUACGUGCC